GACGAACGCUGGCGGCGUGCUUAACACAUGCAAGUCGAACGGAAAGGCCCUGCUUGCAGGGUACUCGAGUGGCGAACGGGUGAGUAACACGUGGGUGAUCUGCCCUGCACUUCGGGAUAAGCCCGGGAAACUGGGUCUAAUACCGGAUAUGACCUUCCAUGUAGUGUGGGGGGUGGAAAGAUUUAUCGGUGUGGGAUGAGCCCGCGGCCUAUCAGCUUGUUGGUGGGGUAAUGGCCUACCAAGGCGUCGACGGGUAGCCGGCCUGAGAGGGUGGACGGCCACAUUGGGACUGAGAUACGGCCCAGACUCCUACGGGAGGCAGCAGUGGGGAAUAUUGCACAAUGGGCGGAAGCCUUAUGCAGCGACGCCGCGUGGGGGAUGACGGCCUUCGGGUUGUAAACCUCUUUCGACAGGGACGAAGCUUCGGUGACGGUACCUGUAUAAGAAGCACCGGCUAACUACGU
rnacentral:rRNA from 1 species